rnacentral:lncRNA from 1 species
GGCAUUCUUCAUCAUUAACAAUCAUAAACACGCAUCGUGUCGUGGAGAAGGCCUUCCCCAACGAACACGGGCAUCGCACCGUGAGAGGGGGCCUCCCUCAGCGGUCACGGCAUCGUACUAUUGAGGGAGGCCUCCCCCAAUAGACGCUGUAACACUGGCAUACUGGCAUCGCGCCGCGAGAGAGGCCUCUCUCAGCGGACACGGGCAUCGCGCCGUGAGGAAGGCCCUCCUCAGCGGACACGGCAUCGUACUGUUGAGGGAGGCCUCCCCCAACAGACGCAAGCAUCAAACAUAAGCAUAAAUUUAUCAGCGUAAAGCAUUCAAGCGUAAAUAAGCAUAAUCAAGCGUAAAUUACAUAGGGCGUAAAUAGUAUAAACAGCAUAGCGUAAAUCAUUUAACGUGCAGCAUAAUAAAGCUUAACUCAUUUAAGCGUAAUAAAGCAUACCACACUUGAAGAUCCAAUUUGCAUUUUAAAGCAUAACACUUGCAUAGCAUUUUAU